GUCUCCAGAAUUAUAAGAAAUAAAUUUCUAUUAUUUAUAAAUUAACCAAUCUAAGGUAUUCUGUUUAGCAGCCCGAAUAAUGGACUAAGACAGACGCCUAACAUAUGAUCUAUCCUAGAUAAUGCUCUCUUCGCAUUCAGGAAGAAUGUAUAUUCUGCUUCUGAAUGGAAAAAAACAAAAUCAGGAUCAGGCACGGUGGCGCAUAAGGCCAGGAGUUUGAGACGUCUAGGCAACACAGCAAGAUCCAUUUGGUCCAAAGUGAGAUUCCAGUGUUUCCUCCAGAAAGGCACAUUAUUCCUCCACCAUGGUCUUCUUUUUCCUGUGUACCUUGACCCUGUAGGAGAUGAGACUUCUAAAGUGAUUCCUUUCCCUCUUUUCUCCUCAUCACCCCUUCCCACUCUCUAAGGUUUUCAGGUGCUGGUUCCAUGGCUCUUCCUGAGCCGAAAAUAAGGAAACUCCAUAGACCUUGUCCACUGGAACUCGUUCCCAUCUACCCUCCACUCUAUCCAGCCCCAUGAGGACAAGGAACAUGAUUGGUUUUGCUCACUGCCGUAUCUUCCGUACCUAGUACGUAACAGGACAUCAAUAAAUAUUAGUUGAAUGGAAGAUUAAAUCAACAAAAUGGGUGAUGGAUCUCUGCAGUAAGUGGAAGAGUUCUUCAUGGCCCCCAAGGUUAUAUCCAUCUAGAACUUCAGCACGUAAUUUCAUCUGGAAAUAGUGCCUUUGCGGAUAUAAGUUAGGUAAAACUGAAGAUGAGAUCAUACUGGAUUAGGAUGGGAUCUAAAUCCAAUGAAAAUGUCUUCAUAAAAAACAGGAAAGAACCCAUAGAAACACAAGGAAGAAGGUCAUGUGAAGAUGGAGGCAGAGAUUGGAGGGAUGCAGCCACCGGCCCAGGAAUGCCAGCAGCCACCCAGAAGCUGGAAGGAAAUGAGGGAUUCUCUCCUAGAACCUUUAGAGAGAACAUGGUCCUGUGAACAGCUUGAUUUUGGACUUGCCCAUAGCUUGUAUACUCUUACUUUGGAUACAAUUUUAUCCAAACUUGGCUAAACAGUUUCUCAGCCUAUGGAAAAUUUAAAAUGGAGAAGAUUCAACUCGAUUCUUACAGAUUCAAAGCAAGAAAAUGAUGGGAACAUAGGAGGAGACCAAGAAAGCCUAUAAAAAGCAAAAAUAUGAAGUGAACAUUGUGGUAGCUUUAAGAUGUUUAGUGUAGCUGCAGGCACCCUAUACACAUGAAAACCCCCAAGGGGAAUCCCCAUAUCACAGUGUAGUGUGAUAUUUGACAUUCGUGAUCAUCUAGAGAUGUACAGAAAAGGUGAAUCUGUGUUCUGUAUAUUCUGCCUAAGGCAAAGAAAUGUUUAGCUCUCUUUAAAAUAGUUCCAUAAUUUUUUCUAAAAAGCUUUGCUUGAAAACUGUAAGCUUCCCAUAUCUGGAGCAUUUCACUUUAAAUAUUUGGAUAAAUAUGUUAUCUUCUUACUUGGACAUUUCAUGUGUUUAGGGAUUGUCUUCUAAAUUCUUCCUAAUUCAUAUAGCUGCUAACACUUCCCGCAGAGCUAAACCAUUACAGAUAUGAAAUAAAGACCUAUUGAUUUGACUU
rnacentral:lncRNA from 1 species